rnacentral:rRNA from 1 species
GACGAACGCUGGCGGCGUGCUUAACACAUGCAAGUCGAACGGUGAAAGCGGAGCUUGCUCCGCUGGAUCAGUGGCGAACGGGUGAGUAACACGUGGGCAACCUGCCCCUGACUUCGGGAUAACUCCUCGAAAGAGGUGCUAAUACCGGAUACGAAUCCUGCAGGCAUCUGCGGGAUUGGAAAGUUUUUCGGUCAGGGCUGGGCCCGCGGCCUAUCAGCUUGUUGGUGAGGUAGUGGCUCACCAAGGCGACGACGGGUAGCCGGCCUGAGAGGGCGACCGGCCACACUGGGACUGAGACACGGCCCAGACCCCUACGGGAGGCAGCAGUGGGGAAUAUUGCGCAAUGGGCGAAAGCCUGACGCAGCAACGCCGCGUGCGGGAUGACGGCCUUCGGGUUGUAAACCGCUUUCAGCAGGGAAGAAGCCGCAAGGUGACGGUACCUGCAGAAGAAGCACCGGCUAACUACGUGCCAGCCGCCGCGGUAA